AAAUUGAAGAGUUUGAUCAUGGCUCAGAUUGAACGCUGGCGGCAGGCCUAACACAUGCAAGUCGAACGGUAACAGGAAGAAGCUUGCUUCUUUGCUGACGAGUGGCGGACGGGUGAGUAAUGUCUGGGAAGCUGCCUGAUGGAGGGGGAUAACUACUGGAAACGGUAGCUAAUACCGCAUAACGUCGCAAGACCAAAGAGGGGGACCUUCGGGCCUCUUGCCAUCGGAUGUGCCCAGAUGGGAUUAGCUAGUAGGUGGGGUAACGGCUCACCUAGGCGACGAUCCCUAGCUGGUCUGAGAGGAUGACCAGCCACACUGGAACUGAGACACGGUCCAGACUCCUACGGGAGGCAGCAGUGGGGAAUAUUGCACAAUGGGCGCAAGCCUGAUGCAGCCAUGCCGCGUGUAUGAAGAAGGCCUUCGGGUUGUAAAGUACUUUCAGCGGGGAGGAAGGGAGUAAAGUUAAUACCUUUGCUCAUUGACGUUACCCGCAGAAGAAGCACCGGCUAACUCCGUGCCAGCAGCCGCGGUAAUACGGAGGGUGCAAGCGUUAAUCGGAAUUACUGGGCGUAAAGCGCACGCAGGCGGUUUGUUAAGUCAGAUGUGAAAUCCCCGGGCUCAACCUGGGAACUGCAUCUGAUACUGGCAAGCUUGAGUCUCGUAGAGGGGGGUAGAAUUCCAGGUGUAGCGGUGAAAUGCGUAGAGAUCUGGAGGAAUACCGGUGGCGAAGGCGGCCCCCUGGACGAAGACUGACGCUCAGGUGCGAAAGCGUGGGGAGCAAACAGGAUUAGAUACCCUGGUAGUCCACGCCGUAAACGAUGUCGACUUGGAGGUUGUGCCCUUGAGGCGUGGCUUCCGGAGCUAACGCGUUAAGUCGACCGCCUGGGGAGUACGGCCGCAAGGUUAAAACUCAAAUGAAUUGACGGGGGCCCGCACAAGCGGUGGAGCAUGUGGUUUAAUUCGAUGCAACGCGAAGAACCUUACCUGGUCUUGACAUCCACAGAACUUUCCAGAGAUGGAUUGGUGCCUUCGGGAACUGUGAGACAGGUGCUGCAUGGCUGUCGUCAGCUCGUGUUGUGAAAUGUUGGGUUAAGUCCCGCAACGAGCGCAACCCUUAUCCUUUGUUGCCAGCGGUCCGGCCGGGAACUCAAAGGAGACUGCCAGUGAUAAACUGGAGGAAGGUGGGGAUGACGUCAAGUCAUCAUGGCCCUUACGACCAGGGCUACACACGUGCUACAAUGGCGCAUACAAAGAGAAGCGACCUCGCGAGAGCAAGCGGACCUCAUAAAGUGCGUCGUAGUCCGGAUUGGAGUCUGCAACUCGACUCCAUGAAGUCGGAAUCGCUAGUAAUCGUGGAUCAGAAUGCCACGGUGAAUACGUUCCCGGGCCUUGUACACACCGCCCGUCACACCAUGGGAGUGGGUUGCAAAAGAAGUAGGUAGCUUAACCUUCGGGAGGGCGCUUACCACUUUGUGAUUCAUGACUGGGGUGAAGUCGUAACAAGGUAACCGUAGGGGAACCUGCGGUUGGAUCACCUCCUUACCUUAAAGAAGC
rnacentral:rRNA from 2 species